AGAACGAACGCUGGCGGCAUGCCUAACACAUGCAAGUCGAACGAGACCUUCGGGUCUAGUGGCGCACGGGUGCGUAACGCGUGGGAAUCUGCCCUUGGGUACGGAAUAACAGCGAGAAAUUGCUGCUAAUACCGUAUAAUGACUUCGGUCCAAAGAUUUAUCGCCCAGGGAUGAGCCCGCGUAGGAUUAGCUUGUUGGUGAGGUAGAGCUCACCAAGGCGACGAUCCUUAGUCUGGUCGUGAGAGGAUGAUCAGACCACACCUGGGACUAGAGACACGCCCGAGACUCCUACGGGA
rnacentral:rRNA from 1 species